rnacentral:rRNA from 1 species
GACGAACGCUGGCGGCGUGCUUAACACAUGCAAGUCGAACGAUGAAGCCGGAGCUUGCUCUGGUGAAUUAGUGGCGAACGGGUGAGUAACACGUGAGUAACCUGCCCUUGACUCUGGGAUAACUGCGGGAAACUGUAGCUAAUACCGGAUACGACCCUCGGAGGCAUCUCCUGGGGGUGGAAAGAAUUUCGGUCAAGGAUGGACUCGCGGCCUAUCAGCUAGUUGGUGAGGUAAAGGCUCACCAAGGCGACGACGGGUAGCCGGCCUGAGAGGGUGACCGGCCACACUGGGACUGAGACACGGCCCAGACUCCUACGGGAGGCAGCAGUGGGGAAUAUUGCACAAUGGGCGCAGGCCUGAUGCAGCAACGCCGCGUGAGGGAUGACGGCCUUCGGGUUGUAAACCUCUUUUAGCAGGGAAGAAGCGAAAGUGACGGUGCCUGCAGAAAAAGCACCGGCUAACUACGUGCCAGCCGCCGCAGUAA